AGACCAUGGUGUGGACAUUUCUAAAGCAAGUCUUUAUACCUUUCCCAUGCUUUGUAUAAAGAUUCGAAAUCAUAUUGUGUGAAGGAAUUGAUGUCGUUCCUCAUCUU
rnacentral:snoRNA from 1 species